GUUAGCGCUGCCCGGGGGCGGCCGGGCCCUGCCGGGAAGCGGGAAGGCGUGUUUGCGCAUGCGCGAUGUGUUCUACUGCGUGCAUCUGUUUCGGGGUGAACCCGGCCUUACGCGGCUCGGCGAGGGCUCUGCCCCUGAGCUGUGACCGUGGCCCCCACUUCCCUUCUUGAUGAUCCUCCUUGGGCGGCCCUGGCCGCACGCGGGGGCUGCAGCGCCGGGCUGGCCAAGGGCGGAGCUGCCCCCAGCUGGGUGGAGGAGGAAACGGCCCUGCCCGUUCUGGGUCACCCUGACCCUGGAGCCAGAGGUUGGUGUGACCAGCCUCCAGCUGGCCCCACCUGGGGAACUGAAAGUCAGGUGGAGAGCAGGCCUCCUGCCCGGGCUUUCUGGAGGCGGGGCAGGCCAAGGGGCAAGCGGUUCCCUGCAGUGUUUUACCCAAAUGGAAUUUAGGGAAGGCAUCCAGAAUGUCCCCUCGGGUCAGUGACCUUGCACUGCCAAGUCCAGUGGCCACUUCUCCACGCUCCUCACCCUCUGCCUCCCACCUGCCAGGCAGGUGCUGCUCCAUCUGUCCUGGAUCCCCAGCGCAGCGCCACCCCCACACAGCGAUUCUGAACAAACAGGCCGCACUCACCCGAGGCUACCUGCCUUCUCCAUCAGGACGGGCCUUCUGUCCACUCCGCUGCUGGACCCCAGGGCCCAGCACACAGCAGGUGCUCAAUAAGUGUUUGGCUUUGAUGAACACUGCAGCGUCUUUGGUCCGCACCCGGCCCAUUUCUC
rnacentral:lncRNA from 1 species